UUAUGGCCAAAUCAGGUUUGAAACACCAUUUCUCAUACGAUCACCGUAAUUAAGCGACGUUGAGCCUGGUUAGUAACUAGAUGGGUGACUGCUUGAGAGUAGAGGCUGCUGUAAG